UCUGGGCAGUUAGUUCUGUUCCACUGAUCUGUGUGUCUAUUUUUCUGCCAUUACCAUGCUGUUUUUGUUACUACAGCUUUGUGGUAUAUUGUAAAGUCAGGGA